UACGUAUGGUGCAAGCGUUAUCCGGAUUUACUGGGUGUAAAGGGAGCGCAGGCGGCACGGCAAGCCUGAUGUGAAAGCCCGCGGCCCAACCGCGGGACUGCAUUGGGAACUACCGGGCUGGAGUGCCGGAGAGGUAGGCGGAAUUCCUAGUGUAGCGGUGAGAUGCGUAGAUAUUAGGAGGAACACCAGUGGCGAAGGCGGCCUACUGGACGGUGACUGACGCUGAGGCUCGAAAGCGUGGGGAGCAAACAGG
rnacentral:rRNA from 1 species